rnacentral:tRNA from 1 species
UGGCUCAGAUGGUAAAGCAUCUGCCUACAAUGCAGGAGACCCGGGUUCAAUUCCUGG